rnacentral:rRNA from 1 species
CCUACGGGAGGCAGCAGUGGGGAAUAUUGCACAAUGGGGGAAACCCUGAUGCAGCGACGCCGCGUGAACGAAGAAGGUAUUCGUAUCGUAAAGUUCUGUCCUAUGGGAAGAUAAUGACAGUACCAUAGAAGAAAGCUCCGGCUAAAUACGUGCCAGCAGCCGCGGUAAUACGUAUGGAGCGAGCGUUGUCCGGAAUUAUUGGGCGUAAAGGGUACGCAGGCGGUUUAAUAAGUCGAAUGUUAAAGAUCGGGGCUCAACCCCGUAAAGCAUUGGAAACUGAUAAACUUGAGUAGUGGAGAGGAAAGUGGAAUUCCUAGUGUAGUGGUGAAAUACGUAGAUAUUAGGAGGAAUACCAGUAGCGAAGGCGACUUUCUGGACACAAACUGACGCUGAGGUACGAAAGCGUGGGGAGCAAACAGGAUUAGAUACCCUGGUAGUC